ACAGGUGGUGCAUGGUUGUCGUCAGCUCGUGUCGUGAGAUGUUGGGUUAAGUCCCGCAACGAGCGCAACCCCUAUCCUUAGUUGCCAGCAUUCAGUUGGGCACUCUAGGGAGGCUGCCGGUGACAAACCGGAGGAAGGUGGGGAUGACGUCAAAUCAUCAUGCCCCUUAUGAGUUGGGCUACACACGUGCUACAAUGGACGGUACAAAGGGCAGCGAGACCGCGAGGUGGAGCCAAUCCCAUAAAGCCGUUCCCAGUUCGGAUUGCAGGCUGCAACUCGCCUGCAUGAAGUCGGAAUCGCUAGUAAUCGCAGGUCAGCAUACUGCGGUGAAUACGUUCCCGGGUCUUGUACACACCGCCCGUCACACCACGAGAGUUUGCAACACCCGAAGCCGGUGAGUAACNAUAAGGAGC
rnacentral:rRNA from 1 species